ACGGCUCAGUAACACGUGGACAACCUACCCUCAGCACGGGGAUAAACCCGGGAAACUGGGUAUAAUACCCGAUAGUUCUGGGAUGCUGGAAUGCUUCCAGGACGAAAGCUCCGGCGACUGAGGAUGGGUCUGCGGCCUAUCAGGUAGUAGUGGGUGUAAUGUACCUACUAGCCUACGACGGGUACGGGUCGUGAGAGCGAGAGCCCGGAGAUGGAUUCUGAGACACGAAUCCAGGCCCUACGGGGUGCAGCAGGCGCGAAAACUUUACAAUGCUGGCAACAGCGAUAAGGGGACCUCGAGUGCCAGGAUACAAUCUUGGCUGUCGUGAUGCCUAAAAAGCAUUACAUAGCAAGGGCCGGGCAAGACCGGUGCCAGCCGCCGCGGUAACACCGGCGGCUCGAGUGGUAACCGCUAUUAUUGGGUCUAAAGGGUCUGUAGCCGGCCGGAUAAGUCUUUUGGGAAAUCCAGCUGCUCAACAGUUGGGCUUUCAGAAGAUACUGUUCGGCUCGAGGCCGGGAGAGGUGAGAGGUACUUCAGGGGUAGGGGUGAAAUCUUGUAAUCCUUGAAGGACCACCGGUGGCGAAGGCGUCUCACCAGAACGGUCCUGACGGCAAGGGACGAAAGCUAGGGGCACGAACCGGAUUAGAUACCCGGGUAGUCCUAGCCGUAAACGAUACUCGCUAGGUGUCAGCCACGGUGCGACCGUGGUUGGUGCCGUAGGGAAGCCGUGAAGCGAGCCACCUGGGAAGUACGGCCGCAAGGCUGAAACUUAAAGGAAUUGGCGGGGGAGCAC
rnacentral:rRNA from 1 species